rnacentral:rRNA from 1 species
UACGGGGGGGGCAAGCGUUGUUCGGAAUUACUGGGCGUAAAGGGCUCGUAGGUGGCCAACUAAGUCAGACGUGAAAUCCCUCGGCUUAACCGGGGAACUGCGUCUGAUACUGGAUGGCUUGAGUUCGGGAGAGGGAUGCGGGAUUCCAGGUGUAGCGGUGAAAUGCGUAGAUAUCUGGAGGAACACCGGUGGCGAAGGCGGCAUCCUGGACCGACACUGACACUGAGGAGCGAAAGCCAGGGGAGCAAACGGG